rnacentral:rRNA from 1 species
UACAGAGGUCUCAAGCGUUGUUCGGAUUCAUUGGGCGUAAGGGGUGCGUAGGUGGCGAGGUUAGUCAGGUGUGAAAUCUCGGGGCUCAACCCCGAAACUGCACUUGAUACUGCCUUGCUCGAGUACUGGAGAGGAGAUUGGAAUUUACGGUGUAGCAGUGAAAUGCGUAGAUAUCGUAAGGAAGACCAGUGGCGAAGGCGAAUCUCUGGACAGUUACUGACACUGAGGCACGAAGGCCAGGGGAGCAAACGGG